GACGAACGCUGGCGGCGUGCUUAACACAUGCAAGUCGAACGGAGUGGCGAACGGGUGAGUAACACGUGGGUGAUCUGCCUUGCACUUCGGGAUAAGCUUGGGAAACUGGGUCUAAUACCGGAUAGUGCAAGAUGAGCUCGCGGCCUAUCAGCUUGUUGGUGGGGUAAUGGCCUACCAAGGCGUCGACGGGUAGCCGGCCUGAGAGGGUGUACGGCAACAUUGGGACUGAGAUACGGCCCAGGCUCCAACGGGAGGCAGCAGUGGGGAAUAUUGUACAAGGUGCGGAAGACUGAUGCAGCGACGACGCGUGGGAGAUGAAGGCAUUCGGGUUGUAAUCUCAUUUCGACAGGGACGCGGUACCGGUAUAAGAAGCACCGGCUAACUACGUACAGGCAGCCGAGGUAAUAC
rnacentral:rRNA from 1 species